rnacentral:rRNA from 1 species
AUGCAAGGAGGAUGUAUAGAUGAUAUAGGAUCUUGUGGAACUGGAUUUGAUUCUGCAAGCGGUUCGGUAUGAAUGAAGAAAUUUCGAACAAAAGGAUCGGAACUCGCUGAUAGGAAAGGAGAGAAAAACAAAGCAAUGCCAAGAGCUCCGUCAAUCUACUGUUCAUCGAUAGACGAAGCUCUCUCUUUUUCAUCUCGUGCCAGAUGUAACAAAAGAUUAGUCCUUUUUCCUUCUCGCGAACCACGGGAGCGCCCAGCGCCCAGAAGAGCAAAGCUCAUUUUCAAAACAGGGUCAAGCGGCGCAUUAAAAAGGGAUGGCCCGUUAAAAGGACGCUUACUUUGCGAAGGAAGUUCAGAAUCAACAAGGGUUCUCCGAACGAAGGGAGUGUACAACUGGGGCGCAACCCCACUUUUUUGUUGGAGAGAUAGAAUGGAGUUCAUCACGAAGUUCGAGACAAAGGACAAAAUAAAAGUUUCUCUAUAG